UCUUUUUUUUUUUUUUUUCAAUUUUUAUGUUUUAUUAUUUUUGUCUUUUUGUUUUGUUUUUGCCUUAACUAAUAAUUAAUAAUACCCACUUUUAAAUAUUACUAAAUAUUGCUGAUAUUAUAAUUAUUAAUAUUCCUCUAAUUGUAUAUCCAAUUCUUUAUCAAUAGAAAAGUAACUCAAAAAUAAAUCACAAGGGUUUAAAUCCGUAAUAAAAGCAUAAAUUAAUAUUUAAAAAAAACAUUAAAUUCUACAUUUAGCGAGUCUUGAAAUUUUUUAUAAAUUUGAGGAAUGUUACAUUUGCAGUUUCUCUCUUUGUGUUUUUGGCCUCUGUUGUACCUGUGAUUUGUGCUGAAUUUUUCUUCUGUCUCUUUCUUCCUUUCUUUGUUUUACCCAAUUAUUGGUGAUGACAUUUUGAUAUAUAAAGCAACCAAUGUGAUUUGCGCUUGAUUUUCCUGAAUGUACGCUGCUGUGAUUUCAUUCAGGCUAUUCGAGCUCUUGAUAUGAGCCUUAUCGAGAGACGAUUGACGCUCAGAGAUGAGUUGAAUCUCACAAUCCAAAAGGUCGAACAAAGCGCAGGAGUGCUUUCACAACUUCUUCAGGGAAUGGAGGAGAAAAAGAUGUGUUUUUUGGUCAAGGAAUGCUAAGAAGAAGACCAGAAAGAAGACCAAACACCGUUACAUAUGCUUUAGCUAAUAUGUAGAUAUCUCAUAUGUGUUGUAGACACUUUAAGCAUACCUAAUGUGAUGUUCUCAUAGAUGAUAUUCGAAAUCAUACACAAUUAAUAAUAAUAGUAGUUUCAACUC